GGGAAAACUGAGGCUAAUAACGGAUAGUGCUCCCGAGCUGGAAUGCUGGGAGCGCGAAAGCUCCGGCGCUGUUGGAUGUGGCUGCGGCCGAUUAGGUAGACGGUGGGGUAACGGCCCACCGUGCCGAUAAUCGGUACGGGUUGUGAGAGCAAGAGCCCGGAGACGGACUCUGAGACAAGAGUCCGGGCCCUACGGGGCGCAGCAGGCGCGAAACCUUUACACUGUACGCAAGUACGAUAGGGGGACACCGAGUGCGAGGGCAUAGAGCCCUCGCUUUUGUACACCGUAAGGUGGUGCACGAAUAAGGGCUGGGCAAGACCGGUGCCAGCCGCCGCGGUAACACCGGCAGCCCAAGUGAUGGCCGCUAUUAUUGGGCCUAAAGCGUCCGUAGCUGGCCGUUCAGGUCCGUCGGGAAAUCCACUGGCUUAACCAGUGGGCGUCCGGCGGAAACCGUUCGGCUUGGAACAGGGAGACCAGAGGGGUACGUCCGGGGUAGGAGUGAAAUCCCGUAAUCCUGGACGGACCAUCGGUGGCGAAAGCGCCUCUGGAGAACUGAUUCGACAGUGAGGGACGAAAGCUGGGGUCUCGAACCGGAUUAGAUACCCGGGUAGUCCCAGCCGUAAACGAUGCUCGCUAG
rnacentral:rRNA from 1 species